rnacentral:rRNA from 1 species
UACGAAGGGGGCUAGCGUUGUUCGGAAUCACUGGGCAUAAAGCGCACGCAGGCGGAUCGUUAAGUCAGGGGUGAAAUCCCGAGGCUCAACCUCGGAACUGCCUUUGAUACUGGCGAUCUUUGAGUCCGGGAGAGGUGAGUGGAACUCCGAGUGUAGAGGUGAAAUUCGUAGAUAUUCGGAAGAACACCAGUGGCGAAGGCGGCUCACUGGCCCGGUACUGACACUCAUGUGCGAAAGCGUGGGGAGCAAACAGG